GUGUCAGCAGCCGCGGUAAUACGGAGGGUGCAAGCGUUGCUCGGAAUUAUUGGGCGUAAAGGGUAGGUAGGUGGUCUCGUUUGUCUGGGGUGAAAUCCCUGAGCUUAACUCAGGAAGUGCCUCGAAAACGGCGAGACUAGAGUUCUGGAGAGGAUAGCGGAAUUCCCGGUGUAGCGGUGAAAUGCGUAGAGAUCGGGAGGAACACCAGCGGCGAAAGCGGCUAUCUGGACAGAUACUGACACUCAACUACGAAAGCAUGGGGAGCAAACAGGAUUAGAUACCCUCGUAGUCC
rnacentral:rRNA from 1 species